GAGCGCCCCGCAAGGGGAGCGGCAGACGGGAGAGUAACACGUGGGAACGUACCCUUCAGUUCGGAACAACCCAGGGAAACUUGGGCUAAUACCGGAUACGUCCGUAAGGAGAAAGAUUUAUCGCUGAAGGAUCGGCCCGCGUCUGAUUAGCUAGUUGGUGAGGUAACGGCUCACCAAGGCUACGAUCAGUAGCUGGUCUGAGAGGAUGAUCAGCCUCACUGGGACUGAGACACGGCCCAGACUCCUACGGGAGGCAGCAGUGGGGAAUAUUGGACAAUGGGCGCAAGCCUGAUCCAGCCAUGCCGCGUGGAUGAUGAAGGCCUUAGGGUUGUAAAAUCCUUUCGGCGGGGAAGAUAAUGACGGUACCCGCAGAAGAAGCCCCGGCUAACUUCGUGCCAGCAGCCGCGGUAAUACGAAGGGGGCUAGCGUUGCUCGGAAUCACUGGGCGUAAAGCGCACGUAGGCGGCUUUUUAAGUCAGGGGUGAAAUCCUGGAGCUCAACUCCAGAACUGCCCUUGAUACUGAGAGGCUUGAGUCCGGGAGAGGUGAGUGGAACUGCGAGUGUAGAGGUGAAAUUCGUAGAUAUUCGCAAGAACACCAGUGGCGAAGGCGGCUCACUGGCCCGGUACUGACGCUGAGGUGCGAAAGCGUGGGGA
rnacentral:rRNA from 1 species